rnacentral:lncRNA from 1 species
UCGGGGCCCCCCUGGGCGCUUCGCGCUGGGGCCCCGCCCCAAAACCCAGAAGGAAUGGUGCGGACCUAAUGAAACAGCGCGAACUAGCGUAGCGUUGUGGGGGUGAGAAUGUUGGUGGGAGGAGUCCGCGUGUGUUAAAGCACGUAUGCUUGUAAGGAGGGGGCGGAAAAUUGAGUUCGAGUACGGCGCUGCUGCUAUUUGCUUGCAAUGGUGAUAAGUCUGCCACCUUCCCUAAUAGUACUAACUGGGCUGGGUAAUCGGCCUUUUCUUUACAUUUCGUAGUUAGCCAGAAAGUUCAAUGUGAAAUGCGGGGUUGUUAGGUGGUGUGAAGUUUGGUCGGAUUUAUCGUUCAAUGGACCCACCAUCACUUUGCAUCCCGCUAACAGCUCAAGGGUUUCUAUUCAUUUGCGACAUGACUGUAUGUAGCGACCAAGGUUCUUCACCCCGAUUCGGGCCCGAACGUUUUUGAGAUUUUUCCGUUUUGCCCUAAAGGAAAGUUGGUGCGCCCCGGAGCAUCCCGAACGGAUUUGGGGCCUUUUGGAGACUUUUUCGGGGGCACCACACGAAGCAUUUUGAAUGCAUUUUCGGAGCAUUUUACUGAGUUAGACACGACUGGCCGCGUACUAGCGACCUUCCGUUGGUCGAGGUCUACUGAGUUAGACACGACUGGCCGCGUACUAGCGACCUUCCGUUGGUCGAGGUCUACUGAGUUAGACACGACUGGCCGCGUACUAGCGACCUUCCGUUGGUCGAGGUCUACUGAGUUAGACACGACUGGCCGCGUACUAGCACACUUCUAUCCGAACGGCCUGAUUACCGUUACACUUACGGCAAAUCCAAUAAGUGUGCUGAGAACGAUCAUACGUUUGCUGCGCGUUUGUCUGCUACAUGAAGACUGACACGCGAAGGUUAGGAUCUUACGACCAUCAAGGUUAUCAUGCCGCGUAUUACGGUU